AGCGAACGCUGGCGGCAUGCCUUACACAUGCAAGUCGAACGGCAGCACGGGGGCAACCCUGGUGGCGAGUGGCGAACGGGUGAGUAAUACAUCGGAACGUAUCCUGUAGCGGGGGAUAACCUCUCGAAAGAGAGGCUAAUACCGCAUACGACCUACGGGUGAAAGAGGGGGAUCGCAAGACCUCUCACUAUUGGAGCGGCCGAUGUCGGAUUAGCUAGUUGGCGGGGUAACGGCCCACCAAGGCUACGAUCCGUAGCUGGUCUGAGAGGACGACCAGCCACACUGGAACUGAGACACGGUCCAGACUCCUACGGGAGGCAGCAGUGGGGAAUUUUGGACAAUGGGCGAAAGCCUGACGCAGCGACGCCGCGUGAGGGAUGAAGGCCUCGGUU
rnacentral:rRNA from 1 species